rnacentral:rRNA from 1 species
GAUGAACGCUGACAGAAUGCUUAACACAUGCAAGUCAACUGUGGCGGACGGGUGAGUAACGCGUAAAGAACUUGCCUCACGGAUAGGGACAACAUUUGGAAACGAAUGAUAAUACCUGAUACUGUGAGAGAGCUUUGCGUCCCAUUAGCUAGUUGGAGAGGUAACGGCUCACCAAGGCGAGGAUGGGUAGCCGGCCUGGGAGUGUGAUCGGCCACAAGGGGACAGGGACACGGCCCUUAGUCCUACGGGAGGAAGGAGUGGGAAAUAGUGAACGAUGGACCAAAGUCUGAACCAGCAAUUCUGUGUGCACGAUUAUUUUUUCGGAAUGUAAAGUGCUGUCAGUAGGGAAGCGGUACCAACAGAAGAAGUGACGGCUAAAUACGUGCCAGCAGCCGCGGUAAUAC